rnacentral:lncRNA from 10 species
GUUCUCUUGGCAGCGUCUCAGGCUGUCUGGACCAGCUGUCACAGUCUCGCUGUGGGUGAGUCACCUGAGGCACUGUAUGGCGGAUAGAAGGAUUCAUUGCCCUGGGAGGUUUUGCCUGGCAUUCUGCAGAAGCAUUGCUGUAUCUUACCAGACAGGAAUACAGGCCGUCUCCAAACUAUAGUCCUAUUGGACUGGUGCACCAAAUAUGGAUUUGGGGUGUGCGUAAUUCAGUCCAUAGCACCCACCAAACCACAGAAGCUGCCCCGAGCUGAUGUCCCGCUAUCGGUGCGGCUGCAGGACACUGUCCCAUUGCUGCAUGGAGCCUCUCGCUGUCUGAGCCUCACCUGAAGCCGGCCCACACCAUUUUCUUACUCUAUGCAUUGGAGCGAAAAUGUUUAAUUGACUACGAUGGGUGAUUCCUAAAGUUAUAUUUGACUCAGAAAAAAAUGCAUUAGUAAAACUCCCUGUUUGAAUGUUUCUAGUAUUCACAGCCCGGGUCACUGUCUUUCUAUAACGAUUGGUAUCUGAAAUAAGAACAUGGGCUGCAACUUACAGCCUUGCUCUUUCUACUAUAUAAACUUCCCUAAUCAAAUAUUUUUCAUUAAAAAAAUGUGUUUUUGGAAAUAAACAGUUACAACCUGGUUCCCAGCUAUCUCUUUUUAUUUUUUUUCUUUUAAGACAGAGUCUAACUCUUGCCCAGGCUGGAGUGCAGUGGCGUGACCUCAGCUCACUGCAAUCUCUGCCUCCGGGGUUCAAGCAGUUCUAGUGCUUCACCCCCUGGGGUAGCUGGGACUGCAGGCAUGGGCCGCCAUGCUGGUCACAAACUCCUGGCCUCAAGCAAUCCACCCGCCUCAGCCUCCCAUCAUGUAGGAUUACAGGCGUGAGCCACGGCGCCCGGCCCCCUCUCUCGAUGGAAGCUUUUCACAUCCACACUGCCCCGCUGACACCGGGAUGGCAGCUCUUAAUCCCUUGAUGCCAUGAAUCCAGCAGAGCGAGCCUGAGAAUGGAUUUGAGGGGAAACGGGGUGUCUCCCAGCUCACUGGUGCUCAGCUUUGGAAAGCGCAGCUCCUGGGUGGCUUUCCUCAAUGCUCCCUGAGUCCCCUGUUGGUUCUCUAAGCAUCGCAGGAGCCUAGGUUUCCCCUGGGAGCCACUUGGGGAGGCCUGGGUGUCCUGUCUGCAUGCCGAUGAAGACCUCACAGGGGGCUGGAAGCUCUGCAGGCCCUGCCUGCCCUGCAUGCUUCCCCCACUGCGAGGGAUUUCUCCACAGAUCUGGCUUCUCCCCUGCUGAACCUGUGCUUUCUGAUCUGCCUCACUCGUGGCCUCACUCAUGGCCAUCGGCCCUCAGGUCCACGGGGCCCUGAAAAUGCUUUGAAUAGAGCAGGCUGGGGUGGGCUGGCAAGCAGAGAGGGACACAGGCAGCCCAUUAGAAACACGAGAAGACACUGAGAAGUUCAAGUGCGAAUAAAGUGCCGAGUGACAUUCCCAACGAAUUCCGUCUUUAAAUGGAAUGUUGCUGGCCUCCCUCUCAGGUCUGCAAAAAUAUUUUUUGAAGCCAAGUUUCAGUCUGCAGCGGUGCCUUCUCUUCCUGUUUAUUUACUAGUCCUGGCCUGUGCGGCUGGUGGGAAAUUCUUCUUGUUUAUUUACUUGUCCUGACCUGUGCAGCUGGUGGGAAACUCUUCCUGUUUAUUUACUAGUCCUGGCCUGUGCGGCUGGUGGGAAACUCUUCCUGUUUAUUUACUAGUCCUGGCCUGUGCGGCUGGUGGGAGACUCCUCCUGUUUAUUUACUUGUCCUGGCCUGUGCGGCUGGUGGGAAACUCUUCCUGUUUAUUUACUGGUUCUGGCCUGUGCGGCUGGUGGGAAACGUUCACCCUGCCUCAGCCCCCUGGCUGGUUA